AUCCAGCUGACGAGUUCCAAUUAGGACGAAACGCACAUCCUAGAU
rnacentral:hammerhead_ribozyme from 1 species